AGAGUUUGAUCAUGGCUCAGAUUGAACGCUGGCGGCAGGCUUAACACAUGCAAGUCGAGCGGAGCGAGGGUGCUUGCACCUUAGCUUAGCGGCGGACGGGUGAGUAAUGCUUAGGAAUCUGCCUAUUAGUGGGGGACAACAUUCCGAAAGGAAUGCUAAUACCGCAUACGCCCUACGGGGGAAAGCAGGGGAUCUUCGGACCUUGCGCUAAUAGAUGAGCCUAAGUCGGAUUAGCUAGUUGGUGGGGUAAAGGCCUACCAAGGCGACGAUCUGUAGCGGGUCUGAGAGGAUGAUCCGCCACACUGGGACUGAGACACGGCCCAGACUCCUACGGGAGGCAGCAGUGGGGAAUAUUGGACAAUGGGCGGAAGCCUGAUCCAGCCAUGCCGCGUGUGUGAAGAAGGCCUUUUGGUUGUAAAGCACUUUAAGCGAGGAGGAGGCUACUUAGAUUAAUACUCUAGGAUAGUGGACGUUACUCGCAGAAUAAGCACCGGCUAACUCUGUGCCAGCAGCCGCGGUAAUACAGAGGGUGCGAGCGUUAAUCGGAUUUACUGGGCGUAAAGCGUGCGUAGGCGGCUUUUUAAGUCGGAUGUGAAAUCCCCGAGCUUAACUUGGGAAUUGCAUUCGAUACUGGGAAGCUAGAGUAUGGGAGAGGAUGGUAGAAUUCCAGGUGUAGCGGUGAAAUGCGUAGAGAUCUGGAGGAAUACCGAUGGCGAAGGCAGCCAUCUGGCCUAAUACUGACGCUGAGGUACGAAAGCAUGGGGAGCAAACAGGAUUAGAUACCCUGGUAGUCCAUGCCGUAAACGAUGUCUACUAGCCGUUGGGG
rnacentral:rRNA from 1 species